CGGCGCUGCGCUCGCUGCUUAAAUGAGCCGGGGCUCCCGGCGCGCGCCACUUCAAGGGAGCCCGCCGCGGGAGCGUCCGCCGCUGGCUUUCCUCAGCCCGCCGAGAGGCGGCGGCCGUCGGGGACCCGGCACGGCGGGCCGAGGCGCUGCGCCCGCUGCUAGGAAGCGGCGGCGGCCGGCGAUGGGGACGGAGCGAAGCUACCCCGCCGGGCCGUGACCACCGCGCCGCCGCCUCGGGCGCUCUCGGAGCGCCGACGCUGAGGAACAUGGCCCUGGAGCAGCUCUGCGCGGUCCUCAAAGGAUAAUAUGAUCAUCCUCACAGUAUGGCCUCGGGUUCAGCAGCAUCCACAUCAAUAGGUAACUGGUGAAGAUACAGAUUCCUAAGAC
rnacentral:lncRNA from 1 species